AAUUUCACAGGAUUGUCAGUAAGAUGGAUGUUGGAGAGUGAGUAACUUGCUGGAGAUUGAAAUCAUUCUGACAUGUGGCAUAUUGAUCUCAUUACUGGGUCAACCGCUUUAAGUUUCUUCAAGAAGCCCUGAUGCAAGUAAAAGCACUUUAAUCCAAGCCCAGCAGUAUCUGAUUGACCAUCUGAAGGU